AGUGAACGCUGGCGGUAGGCCUAACACAUGCAAGUCGAACGGAAGCACAGUAAGAGCUUGCUCUUAAGGGUGGCGAGUGGCGGACGGGUGAGGAAUACAUCGGAAUCUACUUUUACGUGGGGGAUAACGUAGGGAAACUUACGCUAAUACCGCAUACGACCUACGGGUGAAAGCAGGGGAUAUUCGGGCCUUGCGCGAUAGAAUGAGCCGAUGUCGGAUUAGCUAGUUGGCGGGGUAAAGGCACACCAAGGCGACGAUCCGUAGCUGGUCUGAGAGGAUGAUCAGCCACACUGGAACUGAGACACGGUCCAGACUCCUACGGGAGGCAGCAGUAGGGAAUAUUGCACAAUGGGCGAAAGCCUGAUCCAGCCAUACCGCGUGAGUGAAGAAGGCCUUCGGGUUGUAAAGCCCUUUUGUUGGGAAAGAAAAACUGCGUGUUAAUCCCCCGCUGUUCUGACGGUACCCAAAGAGUAAGCCCCGGCUAACUUCGUG
rnacentral:rRNA from 1 species